rnacentral:rRNA from 1 species
UACGGGGGGGGCAAGCGUUGUUCGGAAUUACUGGGCGUAAAGGGCUCGUAGGCGGCCAACUAAGUCGGAUGUGAAAUCCCCAGGCUCAACUUGGGAACUGCAUCCGAUACUGGAUGGCUUGAAUUCGGGAGAGGGAUGCAGAAUUCCAGGUGUAGCGGUGAAAUGCGUAGAUAUCUGGAGGAAUACCGGUGGCGAAGGCGGCAUCCUGGACCGACAUUGACGCUGAGGAGCGGAAGCUAGGGGAGCAAACGGG